AUUAAUCAGCCAGUUGUAAUAUUACUUUUUGCUUUCUAGAGGAAUUUCCUGUAUGGGCAGCGCUUGCUCACCCGAGCCAGGCGGCGCCUUAUGAGGCUGAGGCAACCCGGUUGCAAGCUGAUGGUUGCUUAGAAUAUUUUGAUAUUACAAUAAAAGGAGGUCGUCACAUAAUUGGACGUCAGAAGCAUGAAGACGGGCCCGUCGGCAUUUUGGAUGCAGAGGAGAUUGCUUUGGGGCUGUAUAAUAUUCCCCGCUGCCAAGCUGUUUGCUGUUCAGCGAGCAGGAGGGUUACGGGUGCGUCUUUGACGCAGUUUCCCUCCGGGGUGGGAUUUCAUCAUCUAACAGUCACGAAAGUGCUGCUAGCCAUUAAAAACUACUCUGUUGUCGUA